GUUUUAGCACAGUGGUAGUGCGUUCCACUCGUAAUGGGAAAGGUCGCUCGUGCAAUCCGGGCAGGGGACA
rnacentral:tRNA from 1 species